GACGAACCGUGCGAGCGUUGUUCGGAUUCACUGGGCUUAAAGGGCGCGUAGGCGGCCUCCUAAGUCAGACGUGAAAUCCCUCGGCUCAACCGGGGAACUGCGUCUGAUACUGGGUGGCUUGAGUCCGGGAGAGGGAUGCGGAAUUCCAGGUGUAGCGGUGAAAUGCGUAGAUAUCUGGAGGAACACCGGUGGCGAAGGCGGCACCCUGGACCGGCAUUGACGCUGAGGCGCGAAAGCGAGGGGAGCAAACGGG
rnacentral:rRNA from 1 species